AACGACGCUGGCGGCAUGCCUAACACAUGCAAGUCGAACGAAGGCUUCGGCCUUAGUGGCGCACGGGUGCGUAACGCGUGGGAACCUGCCCCUCGGUUCGGAAUAACAGUUAGAAAUGACUGCUAAUACCGGAUGAUGACUUCGGUCCAAAGAUUUAUCGCCGAGGGAUGGGCCCGCGUAGGAUUAGCUAGUUGGUGGGGUAAAGGCCUACCAAGGCGACGAUCCUUAGCUGGUCUGAGAGGAUGAUCAGCCACACUGGGACUGAGACACGGCCCAGACUCCUACGGGAGGCAGCAGUGGGGAAUAUUGGACAAUGGGCGAAAGCCUGAUCCAGCAAUGCCGCGUGAGUGAUGAAGGCCUUAGGGUUGUAAAGCUCUUUUACCAGGGAUGAUAAUGACAGUACCUGGAGAAUAAGCUCCGGCUAACUCCGUG
rnacentral:rRNA from 1 species